rnacentral:rRNA from 1 species
UACGUAGGGUGCAAGCGUUGUUCGGAAUUACUGGGCGUAAAGCGCGCGUAGGCGGAUUAUUAAGUCAGGGGUGAAAUCCUGGGGCCCAACCUCAGAACUGCCUUUGAUACUGAUAAUCUAGAGUUCGGAAGAGGUGAGUGGAAUUCCUAGUGUAGAGGUGAAAUUCGUAGAUAUUAGGAAGAACACCGGUGGCGAAGGCGGCUCACUGGUCCGAAACUGACGCUGAGGUGCGAAAGCGUGGGGAGCAAACAGG